UACGUAGGGGGCUAGCGUUGUCCGGAAUCAUUGGGCGUAAAGCGCGUGUAGGCGGUCCGGUAAGUCCGCUGUGAAAGUCGGGGGCUCAACCCUCGGAUGCCGGUGGAUACUGUCGGGCUUGAGUAUGGAAGAGGCGAGUGGAAUUCCUGGUGUAGCGGUGAAAUGCGCAGAUAUCAGGAGGAACACCAAUUGCGAAGGCAGCUCGCUGGGACGUUACUGACGCUGAGGCGCGAAAGCGUGGGGAGCGAACAGG
rnacentral:rRNA from 1 species